rnacentral:rRNA from 1 species
ACUACGGGUGGCAGCAGUGGGGGAUAUUGCACAAUGGGGGGAACCCUGAUGCAGCGACACCGCGUGGGUGAAGAAGCGCCUCGGCGCGUAAAGCCCUGUCAGCAGGGAAGAAAAUGACGGUACCUGAAGAAGAAGCCCCGGCUAACUACGUGCCAGCAGCCGCGGUAAUACGUAGGGUGCAAGCGUUAUCCGGAUUUACUGGGUGUAAAGGGGGCGCAGACGGCGAUGCAAGCCAGGAGUGAAAGCCCGGGGCACAACCCCGGGACUGCUCUUGGAACUGCGUGGCUGGAGUGCAGGAGGGGCAGGCGGAAUUCCUGGUGUAGCGGUGAAAUGCGUAGAUAUCAGGAGGAACACCGGUGGCGAAGGCGGCCUGCUGGACUGCAACUGACGUUGAGGCCCGAAAGCGUGGGGAGCAAACAGGAUUAGAUACCCGAGUAGUC